rnacentral:misc_RNA from 1 species
GGUUGGAUCAUUAAAAAUCGGCCUUUGGCCACCAUUUGCUCAGUGUUGUGAAGCUUGGCUUUUGCCAGUCAACACUGGGUGAACCACCACUUGUGAACUGUAAUUGUUUUUUUGGGGUAGAAGGCAUAGUCUCCUUUUGCCCCAACCAAUUUGUUUGUUAAUACUGCAAACUUUGCCCCGAGAGACCGUCAUUAGUCUCUUGGUUUGAUAUAGGUAAUACCUGCAUGGUAAAUUAAUCUGAAGCGUCUGAAUCUGAAUGACCUUUUGGUCUAUCAGCACCUGAAGAUGAGUAUCACUGCUGCGCUUGGUAACUUAUUGAAGACUGAGACGUUGUAUACAACUUAAUUCUAGUGGUGGGAUCGAAGGACAGAGUGGACCGGUUGAUUCAAGCAUAAACCAAUUUGUUUGUUAAUACUGCAAGCCAAUGGGGGUUUUAUGACUGGUGAUUAGAUGGGAAUGAUGGGGAGUCGAGAAUGUUGGAUUAAUUGGGAUGACUGAAGAUGUGCAGUUUGCCAUCCUCAUGACCUGUUAAAUAGCCCUGACGUACUCGCGAACCUGAAUGAAAGUCUAGGAUGCUGGAAGUUUAACCUUCACUGGUGAUCGCAAAACAGCAUUUUCAAACAGAUGUAUAACAACCUUAUAAUUUGACUGAUUUUAUAAUUUAAUUUAUAACAACUUUUGACAACGGAUCUCUUGGCUCUCGCAACGAUGAAGAACGCAGCGAAAUGCGAUACGUAAUGUGAAUUGCAGAAUUCCGUGAAUCAUCGAAUCUUUGAACGCAUAUUGCACCCCUUUCACGAGGGGUAUGCCUGUUUGAGAAUCUAUAGUAAUCAUUUCUGAUCCUUUUCAGAAGAAUUGGGACUUCGCCGUGUUCGGAAUGCGUGUUCUUAAAUACAUAAACCGUUGUAUCGGGGAGAUGUUUGAAUCUUUGCUUAAAUGGUAGAACAGUGUUUGAAUGAAACCGUGGUUUCUUAUAAUGCCAAAUAUACCUUUGCAGAGUUAGUCUCGUCGGUUCAAUGGUGGUUGAAGAAGUUGUGUGUUAUGCACGGCUUGAACAAUGGUCUCAAAUCAGGCAGGAAGACCCGCUGAACUUAAGCAUAUCAAUAAGCGGAGGAAAAGAAACUAACAAGGAUUCCCCUAGUAACGGCGAGUGAAGCGGGAACAGCUCAAAUUUGAAAUCUCGCGGUUUUACCGUGCGAAUUGUAGUUUAAAGAAACGUCUUCGAGGUAGACUUUGCGUACAAGUUCUUUGGAACAAGUCAUCAUAGAGGGUGAAAAUCCCGUCUUUGACGCACGGUUCUAUUUCAUGUGAUGCGUUUUCUAAGAGUCGGUUUGUUUGGGAAUGCAGACCAAAAUGGGUGGUAAAUACCAUCUAAAGCUAAAUAUUGGCGAGAGACCGAUAGCGAACAAGUACCGUGAGGGAAAGAUGAAAAGAACUUUGAAAAGAGAGUUAAAUAGUACGUGAAAUUGUCAAAAGGGAAACGCUUGAAACCAGUAUUGUGGGCAGGAAUUCAGCUUUGGCUUGCCAAGGUCCAUUUUCUUGUCUGCGAGUCAACAUCAGUUUGAUCUGGAGUAAAAAGCGGGAGGAAGGUAGCCUUCGGGUGUUAUAGCCUCCCGUCAUGCUCUGGGUUGGACUGAGGUCUGCAGCGUUCUUUGGGGAACCAAUUGCCUUUGGAAGUAGGAAUAUCGACUGCUUGCAGAUUUUAUUGCUACCAAGAAGCCCAGUCGGUGUACCACACUAGCGCUUAGGAUGUUGACGAAAUGGUUUUAAACGACCCGUCUUGAAACACGGACCAAGGAGUCUAACAUGCAUGCAAGUAUUUGGGUGUCAAACCCUUAUGCGUAAUGAAAGUGAAAAGGUGGGAUCCUUUAUUGGUGCACCAUCGACCGCGCCAGAUUAUUAUUAUCUCGGCGUGAGUAUGAGCAUGUAUGCUGGGACCCGAAAGAUGGUGAACUAUACCUGAAUAGGGUGAAGCCAGAGGAAACUCUGGUGGAGGCUCGUAGCGGUUCUGACGUGCAAAUCGAUCGUCGAAUUUGGGUAUAGGGGCGAAAGACUAAUCGAACCAUCUAGUAGCUGGUUCCCUC